AAUGUUUCAUGAAGGUUCUUCAAGACAAAUUCUGUCCAUUCUCCAUGAAGAGCUCCGCCCUCUGCUACAUAGUAUGUCUGGAAGUAAUCUAAGGGACUGAACUCAUCUAUAAAGGGAAUGCAGAUCAGAUGGCAAGGAAGCGGGUAAGGGAUCUUCUGCCAUCCUCUCAGCUGAUCGGGUACCGAGUUAGUUGAGAAUGCCAUCAAGGUCGUACCAGUGGCCUACAGGUGGUAGGCUUGGAGAGAGAGACCAAUAAUAUAAGAGGGGGACCCAUUUCUAAGAGGCUCUUACAGAUUGAAUCCAAGUGGAUCUUUGAAUUGAGGACAGUGGCACCUUUGGGUAUGAAUGAAGAGCUCCUCUUCACUGGCUUCUUAGGACUAUGGACGGUUGAAUUACUUUAGUUAUCACUGUAAUAAUUUGGAAUGAAAUUCUCAGGACCCCAUGUAGUUUAGAUAUGGGGUGGAUAGCGAUUAUUCAUGUACAAGCAUUUAUGAGGAAUCGUACUUCAUAUACUCACCAGAGAAGACGGGUGCUUGUGGGAGCGGAGGACUGGUACUACCUCUGGUUAUGAUGUGGGCAAGAGGUUCCCCUGAAAGAGAAAGAAGAAAGAGGGAAGUUGCAACACAAGCGUGAUUCAAGAUUAUGACAAUUGGGUCUUUAAUCUGGACACUGGACACUUGACAAACCGCUUUGGGCGGGUUCUCUGACAAAAAAAAAAGACUCUGAGAUAGAGUCUGGUUUAAUGUUUAUGAUUAGGGAUUAAUGAGUGACAUUACAUACUAAUGAGCGACAUUAUGGAUCAACACACCAAGUAUGGACGACCUCUGAUUAUAAAUGAUUAUAAAUGUAUAUACUGAUUUUGAUAUUAGAUAGGUGGUGCAUCAGUUCUCCCUAAACCGUGUACUACAAAUGAUAUAAAUAAUACUAUUGA